AAAAAGACAAACCUAGUUUCCGUGUCCAAUAUUUAACCAUCCGUCUUAUUUGAAAAAAUUAUAAAAAAAGUUAAAAAGACAAGUUACGUAUAAAAUAUUAAUCAUGUUUUAACAAUAAAAAUACGAAUUAUAAAAAUUUUUUAUAUAAGACGAACAAUUAAAGUUGGACAUGGAAAUUUAGGGUUUGCAUUUUUU
rfam:Oryza barthii chromosome 4, whole genome shotgun sequence.